AUGACUCUCAACAAUGGAUAUCUUGACUCUUGCAUCGAUGAAUAACAUAGUGAAAUAUGAUACUUGGUGUGAAUUGUAGAAUCCCAUGAGCCAUCGAGUUUUUGAAUGCAAGUUUCACCCCAAGCCAUUAGGCCAAGGGCCUGAUUGCCUAGGUGUCAUGCAUCAUCACCCCCUCUAACCCUCCACCCAUCGGGCUUCAGGCGAGGGGGAAAAAGAUGGCCUCCUAUGAUCUUGUUGGUUGUUGUUGGCCUAAAAGUGAGCCCCCGACAGUGAUAGUGCUGUGACUAUUACUGGUAAAGAUCCCAACAUGCAUUGUCUCUAGUAAUGAGCAUUUAUUUUCCAUUUGAACCCCAUCAGACCCCUUGCAUCACUCAAUCAAUGCUCCCAUCAUGACCCUAGGUUAGGUAAGAUUACUCUUUGAGUUUAAGCAUAUCAAUAAGUAGAGGAAAAGAAACUUACCAAGAUUCCCCUAGUAACAACGAGCGAAUUGGGAAAAGCCUAACUUGAUAAUCAAACACCUUCGAUGUCCAAAUUGUAGUCUAGAGAAGCAUCCUCAAUGGUGGACUGGGCCCAAGUCCACUAAAAAGAGGUAUCGAAGAGGGUGAAAGCCUUGUUAUACCUAGACCUUGUCACACCACGAGGCUAUCUACAAGUCAAGUUGUAUAGGAAUGUAGCCUUAAUCAGGUAGUAAAUUUAUCCAAGGCUGAAUACAAGGAAGAGACCAAUAACGAACAAGUAUCAUGAGGGAAAGAUGAAAAGGACUUUAAGAAAAGAGCCAAAAAGUGCAUGAAAUUAUCGGUAGAGAAGUAGAUAGGGUCUAGGGAUGUGCCUCAGUUGGAUAUGGAAUGGCCAUAACUGGUCCACCAAUCGGCUUGGGGCAUGGAUCGAUGCGGAUCAUGGCAAUGGCCCAAGCUUGAGCUUUUUAUAUGCCUACAGAGAUAUUGUUGCCUCUAUCGUGGAAUGCAACACAUGCCAUCUAGAUGUGUGUCAAACCACAUGUGCUCCUGGGAUCAACCUACAGGCUCCCCAUCUAGCCCAUCUUGAAAUACAAACCGAGUUUGACAUUUGUGCAAGUCAAUGAGCUAGAAAACCCAUAAGGUGCAAGGCGAACUAUUGGCAAGAUCCCUCACAAGUGCACUACCAACCAACCUUUGAUUCUUUUAAACUACGCUCGAGUGAGGUGACAGGCAGAGAAACUCUAGUGAAAAGCCCGACAGUAAUACUAACAUGCAAAUCAUUCAAUCUGUCUUGGGUUUAUAGGGUUGAAAAAUAAAUUGAAUGUCUAGUAGCUAGCUCUCUGCUAAAGUUUCUCUCAGGGAUAGCUGGGAAGCCCUUAGCAGUUCUAUCAAGUUAAAGCCAAUUAUUCAGAGGCAUCAGAGGGCAACAACCUUAACCUAUUCUCAAACUUUAAAUAGGUAAAAAAGGUGAGGCUACUCAUUGGAGCUAUUCCAUGAGUCGUGAGCUCCAAGUGGGCCAUUUUGUUAAGGCAAAAUUUGGCGACUGCAGGUAUGAACUAGAAGCUAGGUUAUGAUGCCUAAGUUGUAUGGCUAACCUAGAACCCACAAAGGGUUUGGUUCCAAAUAAGACAAAUAGGACCAGUGGUAAUAAAAGUCAAAAUCCACUAAAGAAUGUGUAAUAACUCACCUGCCAAAUCAACUAGUCCUAAAAAUGGAUGGUGCUUAAGCACAUGACCUAUAUAUGGCUGUUAGGGCAAAGGCCAAGCCUUAAUGAAUAGCAUGGUGUGGAGGCACUGCAAAACCCAAAGCAUGAGCAGAGUGACCAUCAGUAUAGAUCUUGGUGGUAGUAGCAAAUAUUCAAAUAAGAACUUUGAAGGCUAAAAAAAGGAAUGGCUCCAUGUGAAUGGCACUUGCAUGUGGGUUAGUCGAUCCUAAAAGAUGGGGAAAGGUAAUCCGAUAGCACAUCCAGCAUAAGCUUUAAAAGGGAAUCAAGCUAAAAUUCCUAAACCAAGAUGCGGUGAUUAAUGGCAACGUUAAGGAGUCUUAAGAUGUUGGUGAGGGCCUCAGGAAGAGUUAUCUUUUCUAUUUAAUGGCUUACCUACCUUGGAAAUGGCUUAACCAAAGGUAGGGUCCAACAACCAAAAAAGCACUACACGUUGCAUGAUGUCUAAUGUGCCCCUGGCGACCUUUGAAAAUCCAAAAGAUGAACUACCGUCCAUGCCCAGUCAUACUCAUAACCUCAUCAGGUCUCUAAGGUGAACAACCUCUGGUCGAUGAACCAAUAUAAGUAAAUGAUGUUGGUAAAAUGGAUUUGUAACCUUGGGAAAAGGGUUGGCUCUGAAGGCUAGGCAUGAGGGUCCCAAUCUUGAACCCAUUGGCUACUGGUGCACUACUCGAGCUACUUUUACAAUGAGAAUGGGUCAUCACAUACCAGCUAAAGGAUGGACUAGGAAUGGCUCCCUUCGGGGUCUUUCUUAGAUGACAAAUAGUUGACUUAGAACUAUUAUGAACAAGGGGAAUCCAACUAUUUAAUUAAAAUAAAGCAUUGUAAUGGUCCCCAUGAAUGCUCACUCAAUGCGAUUUUUGCCCAGUGCUCUGAAUGUCAAAGUGAAGAAAUUCAACCAAGUGUAGGUAAAUAACAGAAGUAACUAUGACUCUCUUAGGGUAACCAAAUGCCUCGUCAUCUAAUUAGUGAUGUGCAUGAAUGGAUUAACGAGAUUCCCACUAUCCCUAUCUACUAUCCAACAAAACCACAACUAAGGGAAUAAGCUUGGCAGAGUCCAACUUUGUGAAAUAACUUGAGAGGUAUAGGAUAAGUGGGACCCUUGGGCAAAAUUGAAAUAUCACAACUUUUAACAUUAUUUUACUUAUUUCAUGAAUCAAAGGUGGGGCAUGACCCCUUUUUUUGGAACCAAAACUGCCCUUGGUCGAUCAAUCCAAGUAGAGGACCUUUUUAGGUGGAGAGUUUGACUAAGGUGACACAUUUGUUAAAAGAUAAUGCAGGUGUCCUAAGAUUAGCUCAACAAGAAUAGAAAUCUUAUAUGGAACAAAAGGGUAAAAGCUCAUUCGAUUCUAUUUUCUAGUAUAAAUACGAAUCAUGAAAGUGUGGCCUAUUGAUCUUUUAGACCUUUAAAAUUUGAAGCUAUAGGUGUUAGAAAAGUUACCAGAGGGAUAAUUGGCUUUUGAUAACCAAGCAUUCAUAGCGACAUUGCUUUUUGAUUCUGUGAUGUUGGCUCUUCCUAUCAUUGUAAAGCAGAAUUCACCAAGUGCUAGAUUGUUUGCCCACCACUAGGAAACACGAGCUAGGUUUAGACUACCAUGAGUCAGGUUAGUUUUACCCUACUAAUGGUAGCGUCACACCUAGUAUGAGAGGAAAUGUUGAUUCACACAAUUGGUCAUCAUGUCUGGUUGAAAAGCUAGUAAUGUGAAGCUACCAUGCACUAGAUUAUGACUAAACACCUCUAAGUCAGAAUCCAGGCUAGAAAUAAUGCACACACCCUUUGCCUGAUUGCCAACCUGUAGUAGGGGCCCAUGGCCUUCAAUGGCACAUGUCAUAGGUGCAGCCCUCACGGCAAACAAGCCAAACGGGCCUCCUUAGGGCU
rnacentral:rRNA from 1 species